rnacentral:misc_RNA from 1 species
AAGCAUGCACCCGACCUAGUACAGAGCUCAUGCUAGUGGUUGAUGAAACUUCUGCGUCUUCAUUAUCCGAAUAUUUAUACUGAUGUCCAUUCUGAAAAGUCCCUUUACUGGAAUUUGGUCUAUGGGAAUCAAUUGCCAUAAAUAAGUUCAAAAUAUUAUCUUCACCUUCCCGCAAAACAGGCGUACUACCAUCAGUUCCACCAAUAAUUGAAUCUGAGAAUGAUAAGUAGUUGGAAAUACAACUACCUUCCAUUUCG